GAUGAACGCUGGCGGCGUGCCUAAUACAUGCAAGUCGAGCGAACAGACGAGGAGCUUGCUCCUCUGACGUUAGCGGCGGACGGGUGAGUAACACGUGGAUAACCUACCCAUAAGACUGGGAUAACUUCGGGAAACCGGAGCUAAUACCGGAUAAUAUAUUGAACCGCAUGGUUCAAUAGUGAAAGACGGUUUUGCUGUCACUUAUAGAUGGAUCCGCGCCGCAUUAGCUAGUUGGUAAGGUAACGGCUUACCAAGGCAACGAUGCGUAGCCGACCUGAGAGGGUGAUCGGCCACACUGGAACUGAGACACGGUCCAGACUCCUACGGGAGGCAGCAGUAGGGAAUCUUCCGCAAUGGGCGAAAGCCUGACGGAGCAACGCCGCGUGAGUGAUGAAGGGCUUCGGAUCGUAAAACUCUGUUAUUAGGGAAGAACAAAUGUGUAAGUAACGAUGCACGUCUUGACGGUACCUAAGCAGAAAGCCACGGCUAACUACGG
rnacentral:rRNA from 1 species